AGAGUUUGAUCAUGGCUCAGAUUGAACGCUGGCGGCAGGCCUAACACAUGCAAGUCGAACGGUAACAGGAAUUAGCUUGCUAAUUUGCUGACGAGUGGCGGACGGGUGAGUAAUGCUUGGGAACUUGCCUUUGCGAGGGGGACAACAGUUGGAAACGACUGCUAAUACCGCAUAACGUCUUCGGACCAAACGGGGCUUAGGCUCUGGCGCAAAGAGAAGCCCAAGUGAGAUUAGCUAGUUGGUGAGGUAAAGGCUCACCAAGGCGACGGAUCUCUAGCUGUUCUGAGAGGGAAGAUCAGCCACACUGGGACUGAGACACGGCCCAGACUCCUACGGGAGGCAGCAGUGGGGAAUAUUGCACAAUGGGGGCAACCCUGAUGCAGCCAUGCCGCGUGUGUGAAGAAGACCUUCGGGUUGUAAAGCACUUUCAGUGGUGAGGAAAGGUGUGUAGUGAAUAGCUGCAUGCUGUGACGAUAACCACAGAAGAAGCACCGGCUA
rnacentral:rRNA from 1 species